rnacentral:lncRNA from 1 species
UGACACCUGACCCACCUCAAGUGGGAUGUGGAGAAGGCACUUGACUCCAGAGGCAUCUGCUCCUGAGGCUGACUUCCUAGUCUGAACAGGCGCCACCCCGAGGAGCCCUGUGUCCACAUGUGGAGCAGACGUCACACAGGAGUGGAGGAAAGCCACUCAGGAGGAAGCCAGCAUCUGGGGAGGGGACUCAGCGGCUCGCUCUCCAGGUAGUGCCUCUUGAGCUGCCUGCGUUCUGGAGACACACAGCACGCUCUUCCAGCGCACCCAGGAGUAGACGCAGUGCUCCGUCCAGGCUGUGCAGGCGGUCCUUCUGCCCCUCCUGCCUCCCAGCUCCUCCUGAGCCAAAGCAGCUUGACCAGCCAGCCACCUGUGAGACCUCCAAGCUGAACACUCUCUGCCUGCAUGAGGAAGGAGCGUGAUGCAGAGGAAGACAGGCCACGUGACCUGCAGAAUCUGGAGGAGGCCAGGAGCAUCUCAGAGCUAGAGCUGGGCUCAAUUAACAUGACCUGGGACUGUUCUACAAGGAACUCAAACUCUGUACGGAAAACAUCCUUGCAGUUUCCCGGAGCUGGGUGUGGAAGUGGUUAUACAGAGAGACAGCUGACCUGUGCCUGUCCUGACCAGGCCUCCCAAGGAGAGGGCCAGCCAGUGGACAAAGAUGUGGACUCUGACGUGUCACCGGGCAGGCAGGACGGGACCUCAAGGAGACCACCCCCUUUCAGACACAGACCGACCCUUUAGGAGCAUUGGGCUGUCUUCUUGGGUGAGGAGGGUCUCUAGGCAUGGGGGUCUCCACCCAGCUGGAGCAGGGAGCUGGGAGUGUACACACCGCGAGCCCAUGGCAGGCUGAGGGGUGCAGGCUUCCUGUAUUUUUUCCCUUCAGCCGCGCACCUGCCUGGCCCUCACAGAGCAGGCGGUUCACCAAGUGUGCUUUGACCUAAAAUCACC